GGGCCGUUAGCUCAGCUGGUAGAGCAGCGGACUUUUAAUCCGUUGGUCACUGGUUCGAAUCCAGUACGGCCUACCA
rnacentral:tRNA from 7 species